UACGUAGGAGGCAAGCGUUGUCCGGAUUUAUUGGGCGUAAAGAGCGUGUAGGCGGCUAGGUAGGUCCGUUGUGAAAACUCGAGGCUCAACCUCGAGACGUCGAUGGAAACCAUCUAGCUAGAGUCCGGAAGAGGAGAGUGGAAUUCCUGGUGUAGCGGUGAAAUGCGCAGAUAUCAGGAAGAACACCCGUGGCGAAGGCGGCUCUCUGGUACGUGACUGACGCUGAGACGCGAAAGCGUGGGGAGCGAACAGG
rnacentral:rRNA from 1 species